UACGGGAGGCAGCAGUGGGGAAUMUUAGACAAUGGGCGCAAGCCCUGAUSUAGCCAUGCCGCGUGAGUGAUGAAGGCCUUAGGGUCGUAAAGCUCUUUCGCCUGUGAUGAUAAUGACAGUACCARGUAAAGAAACCCCGGCUAACUCCGUGCCAGCAGCCGCGGUAAUACGGAGGGGGUUAGCGUUGUUCGGAAUUACUGGGCGUAAAGCGYACGUAGGCGGAYURRAAAGUUGGGGGUGAAAUCCCGGAGCUCAACCCCGGAACUGCCUCCAAAACUAUCAGUCUAGAGUUCGAGAGAGGUGAGUGGAAUUCCAAGUGUAGAGGUGAAAUUCGUAGAUAUUUGGAGGAACACMAGUGGCGAAGGCGGCUUACUGGCUCGA
rnacentral:rRNA from 1 species